rnacentral:lncRNA from 1 species
AUUGCAUUGUUUGUACUACAACGCAUUCUUUCCGCAAAAACACUUAAACUUGGUGCUGGUGAAUCCUGAAAGGCUACUGUUCUGAAAAAACAAAACAAUGCCUUGUUAGCUAUUUGAACGAGAAUUUUCUACCAAUGACAUUUGGGAUUUGUGCUUCACAGAUUAUUUUCUUUGGUAUCUUUUUUUCUUUUUCCAGAAAAUAAUUGCGUUCGGUCUACAUGUGAGCGAUUUCAUCAUUUCCUUCUUGUAAAAUCUAAGCAACAAGAUGCAGCUGUCCCUCCACUUGAAGAAACUCUCUGGAAGAUAACAGAGCCUGAUCCUGAACUUAUUUCUGAAAAUAAAGCUGUUUAUAGAUUAAUUUCAUAGAUGCUUCGAACUGAAAGAGAAUUUGAAUGUUAUUUUGGCCGAUCAUCAUAAUUAUUUUUUGUAUGCAACCAAAUUCUACAGAAGUAGUGGUUUUUCUUACUCAGUUUAUUCUGUAGCUUAAGUUGUCUCAAAUAUUAUUAAUAGAGAAACCAACUGGAUCAAGUGAGGAAGGAGUUGGCGAAGGUACUGAUGUGCAAGACACUGAAUUCACUUCUUGAGUAAAGUUGAGAAAAUGGGGGAUUUGGAUCCUGUUCAAGAUUUUGAAGCCAUGAUGUCUCAAAGAGAUAGUACAGAAUAGGUUAAUAAAGCAAUUCAAGAUAUGAAAAAUCACCCAGGAAAUUGCCUAGACCCUAAAAGCCUACUUGUAAAUGAUGAUUCAAUUUAUCACAUAUUGUUUGGUUCAAUAUAUGACUAGAUAAUCAGUAUUUUAUCUUUAUUGGCGUGUAACUUUCAAUCUUGAAUAUUUUAUUCACACUUGUUGGCCCAUUCCCCUUCCUCAAUGUUAUUUUACAUCUCUUGUUGACUGCACAACGUCAUAGUAGGAAGAACAGUGGAAGUGUUGUUUUAGGAGUUAUUAAUGAUGAAGUUCUCGUGUUAUUCUCUAACAAUUUCUGCAGCUCUGCCAGAUUCAAAUUACAGUUGUAUUCAGGGAAAUAUGUUGACUGUAUUUUUUAUCCUUGUGAUUAAGCAUACUAUUUCAACUAUAUAUUGGUUCUUAUCCAAGAAAUGUAAGUUGGUUAGCUAUGAAAACAAAUUUGUGAAAUUCAAGCAACCUUUCCCCAAAUUGACAUGAGAAAUGUAAACCGGUUAGCUAUGAGAAACAAAUCGCUGAAAUUCAGUGGCUUAUUUUAUUUUAUUUAUUUAUUUAUUUUUCCCCCAAAUUUGCAUGAGAAAUUUUUGUUCCGAACUUGUAAUGUUGACUCUUUUUGCAGACUACUACAAAACAUCUGUCAAAUAUUUUGAGUUUUUCCUUGAACAGGAACCCAAACAAUCCAAUGAUUUCCUGCACCAUCUUGUCAAAUUCUGCCAAGAGAAAGACCUCAAAAGAUUCGGUGAAUAUCUUGCAUCACUAGAAAUUACACUGAUAAGCAAGAAAGAAGCACCUGACAGGUCGGUUAUUACAAAGUUUGUCCUACAAUUCUUCAUGGCCUUCAUUUUUUACUUUUAUUCUCACCUCGUAAUUUUAGCAUAAUGCUUAUUGUUGGUGCAUAUAUCCUUGCUAUCCAAACAGUGAGUCUCCCAGGAUGAUGCCUGAAGCUUUAUUGUUAAAAGGGAGCCAAAAGCCGAGCAAGGAUUGUGAGAAUUGACCUGGUGGCCUCUAGUUUGGCAUGGGCACGAGAAAUUCACUCAGAUAUUUUGAUGAUAUAUUUUCUACUCGUGUCUUUGAUAUGUAUAACUUCAACAGGAAUCACGCCAAACAAUGGAUUUGAAACUUGUCCAUUCUGAAAAGUUGCACAUAUUUUUCAAGCUUAAUCUUUCAAUUGGCAAUGAAAGAAAACUUGAUGUUAAUGUAAAAUGAUGUUUCAAUGAAUUAUUGGGUAGACGGUAAGUUGUACAACCAAUUUUGGACGUUGGAUCUCAACUUCUUUCAGAGAGUCUCUAUUUUAAUUCUUGGAGGGUGUAGACUUGCAGUACUACGUAAAUUGUGUAAUGCAGUAUGGAAG